GGGUAGCGGAACACGUACACAACAUACCUUUUACUGGAGCAUAGCCCGUUGAAAAGCGGAUUAACACUCCAUAAGAUAAUAGAGUGGCAUCACUUAGUUAUUAAAAAUUUAUUGGUAAGAGAUUGGUGUGCGUCCUAUUAGCUAGUUGGUAGGGUAACGGCCUACCAAGGCGACGAUAGGUAGCUGGUGUGAGAGCACGACCAGCCACACGGGCACUGAGACACGGGCCCG
rnacentral:rRNA from 1 species